rnacentral:lncRNA from 1 species
AUCUUGAAAACGGAAAAUAAAAACAGCAGACCUAUGAAGGUCGAAGGGGAAGAAAAGCUGUAUCGAUUGUUGAGAUCUGGCGACUUGUUUAAAUUUCAUCAGCCUCACUUCUAUGAACUCUCAGAGCUGAUUACCAACUCCUACCACUGUUAACCCUCAUCCAGGAACAAGCUUAUGUCUUUAACAUUCUGAGUGGGCUUCAGCAUCCUUGCAUAUGUUCAAUUCUUAAAAACCUGUUGAAAUAAAAGAUCAGGAGACAUAGGAAGGAUGCCAGAAGAGAGCGUGGCCUCACGUGUACCAGCUCUCUGCUCUCCUUUGCCUUGGGACGUUCCAUCCCUGGAAGUUUCCCUGCCCACAUCUUUGUAGAGAGUCCAUUCUCCAAGCUUCAGUGUGUCAUCUGUGAGGACCGUGACCCACCUGGUACAUCGCCUCAGGGCAUUCAUUUCAGGCUCCUUCUAAAUGGCCAAGGCUUCUGUGCAGCUGCAGAAUAAAAGGCCGGGCAUGUGCCCCACUGGAAGUGUCUGGAAUCCAUGGCUUCAAUAGACCUUUGACGAGUGGGAAGUUGGAACCAUGAUGAAAUACUGCCCUCUAGACUGAUCUCAGGAGGACAAUUCUGGGGUGAAUUCUAUACGGUUUCUCAGAGGGUCCCCGGUAGCACUGAGCCCCCAUUUCCACAGUCAUAUUCAGUUCAAUAAUAUUUUUCCUCCUUUCCUGUUUUGCUUUCUCCAGCGCCCAUUGCUAGUUGCUUCCUGGAGGAAUUUCCCAAAAUAAAAGUGCCUAUCCACAAA